rnacentral:rRNA from 1 species
AUUGAACGCUGGCGGCAGGCCUAACACAUGCAAGUCGAACGAGAGGCGGACGGGUGAGCAAUGCGUGGGAAACUGCCCGAUGGUGGGGGAUAACUACUGGAACAGGUAGCUAAUAACGCAUACCACCUGAUGUGCCCAGAUGGGAUGAGGUUGUAGGUGAGGUAACGGCGCACCUAGGCGCCGAUCCCUCGCUGGUCUGAGAGGAUGACCAGCCACUCUGGAUGUGAGACACGGUCCAGUUGCCUAGGGGGGGCAGGGGAGGGGAAUAGGGCACGAUGGGCGCAAGCCUGAUGCAGCCAUGCCGCGUGUAUGAAGAAGGCCUUCGGGUUGUAAAGUACUUUCAGCGGGGAGGCGUUACCCGCAGAAGAAGCGCCGGCUAACUCCGUGCCAGCAGCCGCGGUAAUUC